rnacentral:rRNA from 1 species
GAUGAACGCUAGCUACAGGCUUAACACAUGCAAGUCGAGGGGUAACGAGAGGAAAGCUUGCUUUCCUUGUCGACGACCGGCGCACGGGUGAGUAACGCGUAUCCAACCUGCCCCCAACUAGGGAAUAACCUUGCGAAAGUAAGACUAAUACCCUAUAAUUUCCUCAGAUGUCAUCUGACGAGGAAUAAAGAUUUAUCGGUUGUGGAUGGGGAUGCGUCUGAUUAGCUUGUUGGCGGGGUAACGGCCCACCAAGGCAACGAUCAGUAGGGGUUCUGAGAGGAAGGUCCCCCACAUUGGAACUGAGACACGGUCCAAACUCCUACGGGAGGCAGCAGUGAGGAAUAUGGUCAAUGGGCGGAAGCCUGAACCAGCCAAGUAGCGUGCAGGAUGACGGCCCUAUGGGUUGUAAACUGCUUUUAUACAGGAAUAAAGUUAGCCACGUGUGGUUAUUUGUAGGUACUGUAUGAAUAAGGACCGGCUAAUUCCGUGCCAGCCGCCGCAGUAA